rnacentral:sRNA from 1 species
ACACGAAGGAUGCUGUUACUCUCAUGCUGUACCCACCUACAGGGGGAGAAGGAGGCUUCUAGAUCUCGGGGCAGAUGUGGGCCAGGUGGGGGCCUCAUGCAGCCCUGACCUCGGGCUUGGUGUCCAGGCAGGAAAAGAGUUGGAGCGGUGCCAGCAGCAGGCGAACGAGGUGACGGAACUUAUGCGUAACAACUUUGGCAAGGUCCUGGAGCGUGGUGUGAAGCUGGCCGAACUGGAGCAGCGUUCAGACCAACUCCUGGAUAUGGUAGCUCAACCUUCAGCAAGACUACAAAGACCCUGGCCCAGAAGAAGCGCUGGGAGAACGUCCGUUACCGGAUCUGCGUGGGGCUGGUGGUGGUCGGUGUCCUGCUCAUUAUCCUGAUUGUGCUGCUGGUCGUCUUUCUCCCUCAGAGCAGUGACAGCAGUAGUGCCCCACGGACCCAGGAUGCAGGCACUGCCUCAGGGCCUGGGGACUGACCCAGCUGGUUCUGAAGAAGCCAAAUGGCUGCACUGGCCAAUUCUGGUCUCCAGAGGACCUUGGUGUUUGCUCUCCCUUGACC